GUGAUUUCUAAGGGCUUGAUAGAAAACCCUUCCCACCUUUUGCAGGGUUUUUAGAAUCCAUCAAGACUGGGAUCUCCUUUGCUUGAUACUAGCAGUGCUAUCCAUUUUCUCAGGAGCAAUCCAUUUUCUCCUGUUUCCUUGAAUGUGCCAACCUUUUUGCACUGUCUUUUCUGCACUUUCUAGGGAACUGAAAAAUUGUUCCAAUAAAAUAAAAAAGUGCAGCUGUGGACAUCAGACAUAAAAAGACCAUGGACACAAUACUGCAGAAUCAGUGAAUUACCUAACUACUUUUUUUAUAUUCCUUUGCACUUGUAGAACUGCUGACCCUGCUUGAGUUGAGAAAGGUCAUUCACUGACCUCUAAAAUGGAAGGCCCCAUGAAAUGUCCAUCCAGGCUAGAAGCACAGGUGAGCAGUUUUGCACCCUUCUUUCACCCUUACAUCUUUUAGCUCAUCGCUUACUUUUCUAAGAUGGCUACCUAUUCCUUAACUAUAAAGCCAAGGUGUUAUUUUCAAAGAGAACUAACUCACACAAGUGAACGUGAGCUGGACAAGUCCUGGAGCUGGGGCUCCCCUCUCUGUACUCCAACUCUGGUGCUUCUCACAAAACAAGAUAACACCCAGAACUCUCUCAGAUGACAUUCAUCUUCAUCUGGCAUGGACAUAAAUUAAUGGGUGGUAAGGAAGCUGAAACAGAGACCAGUACAAGACCUGGCAUGUAAAUCACCCAAGGUUGUGCUCUCCUCAUGCUUCGAGACGUAGCAUGAUCCAAUGCAAUGAUCAUGCUGGAUGUGAAGAACACUUAAUGUCUUUUAAUUAGGUUUUGAAGUAAUGCAUGCCAACACCCUGUAACUACUUCAGCCUUGACUCAUUCGUGAAGAUGCAUGCCAUAUGUAAGAGACCAACAUAAAAAGGAUGACCCCAAAACUAACACAUUUCACUGUUGACGUAUGCUUCUUUUUCAGACUGUGAAGCUCAGCUGACAUGCUCAAUGCCUGCCUGCAUGACACAGGCUGUCAUUAUUCAUUAUGGACUUGGUCUCAGUACUGUGACUCCAGGAAGCAAGUGUUAAUUGGUGUGAACAAAAAUGAAGGUUUUGACUUCUUGUAAACAACAGACAAAGGGCUUUGCAAUGGCUUAUCAGACAGACAGACUGGAACAGAGCUCUCUGUUAUUAGCAUUACUUCAUCUGAAAUGCUUUCAGCUUGGGAAUUUGGGGGAGGGAAUAGCAGACUCAAGUUUAGAAUGAUAACUCUAUAUUUGACUGUUGUUGCAGAGGGAUAUGUUUUCUAUUAAGGAGGGUCUUCCAAGGCAAACUGGGAGAUGUAGGGUCCCAGCUUCACACAGAGCAAGUCACUUCACAUUCCUGCACCUUUUCACCUCUUUUUAAUCCCUCUCUCUUUUUAAACUUCUAUGACCAAUGGUCUUUUUUCUCUAUAUAUUUUUUUGGACUUAUAGAGCAUCCAUUUCCACUGGAUGUUUUAAGGCAACACUUUGAUAGAAUAGUUUAUUUGAGCAUGAAGCAUCUUCACCACCACUCUGGUAGCCAGUAGUUUAAAAUUUGCAUGUUAUCAACUGUAUUUACUGCAUUUACUUUAUCAUGGAAAAUGCAUUAACAAUUACAAACCAUCAUUUUAUG
rnacentral:lncRNA from 1 species